UUUCUCCCCAAAGAGAUGAUGUUUCCCAAUAGCGCAUGCAGGUGGACCCUAACCUGGCACACACAGGCCCUCUUGGCCCUCCAGCACUGGUGCCUGGGCUCUACCAUUUGAUUGCACCCGUGUCUGUCUGUGCUAGGGCUCUGUCCUGGUCCUGUCACCCCUGAGGUAUCCUUGGAGCAUAGGGAUGCCAAAGAGCCCCAUGUGAUCUUGUCAACUCUGGGUAAACUCAAGAGGCUCCUUGGGUUUCUGAGCUGAGGGCCAAGGCAGCCCAUGUCUGGGCUUCAUUACAAAGAAAAGUGGCAAUCAAUGGGCAAUGUCCAUUAGGAGUUUUUGGAAAGGGGAUCUGGGGCGACAAACCUAGAAAGGGAUGAGGCAAAUAGUACAUCGCUGCCUUAGAUGGCUGCUUUGCUAUCGGGCUGCACUGUCUCACCCGCCAGGUGGCCGAGGAGGCCGUCGGAGGACCACAAAGCUGCAAGUGGCUUUCCUGCGGCCUGCAGGGAACAGGUGGAGGACACUUGGAAGGGCACCCACCCCGGGUCUCACAGGAGUCUGCACCCGCAGGUCACACUGGCAUUAGCCCCUCAUCCUCUGGAGUUCAUCUCAUCCAGGCGAAGACAGCUGGCUGGCCUCAGAGGGUGAGACGCAACUCGAGGGUAAAAACAUUUUUACAGGGCAUGGACACAAAAGUGGCCUUUACCUCUGGAUAAGCUUUUAAAACUUCCCAUUUACAUGUAAAGGUGUACUUUCUAUGUGCCACCAAGAAACCUAAAGUGAGUAAAAGGUGUUUCACUUUAAUCAAGUUCCCCAAUGAGGGGGCACAGCUCUGAAAAGCACUGUCACAACAGGAGAUUCGAGGGUGCAUGCAAAGCAAUGUUUCUAGAAAAUGCCAAAGGAAACAGACACAACUCCAGUGUGGACUCCCGCUUCCCUGCACUGCUGCUCCAUCCUCAGGGCGGAGGCCACAUCGUCCAGCUAGCUGUGAGAACCUCAUCAUGCUCCUUGAUUGUGUGCAGCAGGUGUCUGCUGAAGUCCUCCACACUCUGCCUGUCUCAUCCGCUGAGCAGUGCCUCCUCCCGAUUCAGCACGUCCCUGGUGCCGACUUUCUGCACGUGUUCACUUUGAGGCUGCAUUGUGGGCCUGCAAGAAAUGCAAAGCUGGUUGAGGCUUUAUUCAAUUCAAAUUCAAGCUGUUAAAUCGAGGCUCUCAGACUCCUGCUGCCUGGCCAGUGGAGAAAUUAACUUUCACAUAUGGCUUUGGGAUUUCUCUCUGUCAUCCUGGUCGACGUGUUCUCUCAUUUUUCUGAAGUCUGGGACCUCAACACAGACAUCUGGGUGAAGGCCUUGACAGCAGCGCUGGUGCAAAAUGAAUUGUCACAUCACACCCAACGUUCUCAACCUUUAGAAUCUGAAAGUAAGAAAAACACCUCAAACAAAACAUUAAAGAUUGAAUAAUUGAAGGCACUAUGCUUGGUGCUGAAGAAGGUCUAAGGAGGUCUACACCACAGAGGCUGCACCCACUCCUCAGCCUUGCUGAGCCACACCAUUCUCAUCUCUACAGCAUCCACCUCUCUUGGCUCUUGUAAGGAUUGAGACAUGCCACCAGGCUUACUAUUGAUUCUGAGUAAUCAGCACAGAUUUCUAAAAGAAACUUUAUGGGAUGCUGAGACAUGAAUAAAAACAACUUUAUUCCUUUGGAAAGGACAACCCACAUGCUAAGAAGAUGACACUACACGUUGUUAUAGCCCGAAAGGCCCUCUUUCCACAGGGGAGCAGUGAAAAGUAGAGGUUGCCCAUGUGGAUUCCCAAGUCAGAUAGAUGUGGAUUCAGAUCCCAGCUCUGCUGCUUGCUACCCAAGAGACCAUGGACUGUGGACUCUUUAGGUCUCAGGGUUUUUGUUUGUUGUCUGUUUUUCACUUCCAAAACCAGAAAAUGAGAAGAUAUUUUCCAUAAGAUGGCGGUGGUGAGUAAAUGUAAUUAUAUGUCUAAAGCUAUGGGCAUGAAAGCUUGGCACACAUUUAAGUAAGUGCUUGAUAAAUGUUAAUUCUUACAACUAUUGGUAUCAUUUAGAUUUAGGUUGCUGAGUUAGUGGGAAAUAAUGUCCUUAUCAUGUGAGGAAUCCCUAUUCUCAAAAGGGGUUAUUAUCAUUAGAAUGCUAACUGUUUUCAAAACAGCUAAUUGACCAUUUUAUUCAGAAGCACCAUCUGCUACUCAUUAGGGUCUAGGUUUCUGUCAGCUCACGGGUGCCCAUAUGUGAGUUGAUAACCCUAUUUCAGUCUUGGUUGUUGAAUCCUCAGUGUCUGCGGUUGACUGACUAUCAGGUAUUUGCAUCUCUGAAAGUAAUUUUCAGCAGUGAGUUUUUAGUUAGGUUCUUUGGUUACAGUUCUGGAUAAUUAACACUAAAAUGAGACAUCUUAGAAGGCUUUGGCUCAGAUAAUUGAGAGAAGUGAAUGUUGAACAAGAUUCAGGAAGGGAAGAGCUGGGAUACCCCAAUGUCUGGAUUUCAUGCUCUUUUUCUCCAAGCACAUCCACUGUGGGGCUUGGCCUCAAUCCCCUAGAUGUCUUCAAUAUAAUCUUCAAUUGUCAGGAGAAGAGAACUUGAUGGACCUUGCUUGGACAAAAUGCCUUCACCGCUAACUCAGUCAGCUAUGGCGAUGGGUCAAGGACCUGGUGGUUUUACAGAGAAGACCCUUGGUCAAAUCUUUGUGAAUGAAGCAACCAUUCUGAUGUUCAAUAACAGGGUAAGUGCUGGCCAAUGAUGUCAUUAUCGUCCAUCCUGUGGCUUCCACACAUCAGUGAUCUUAUUAGAUACCUGCAAUUUCAACCCACUAUAUCAGAAUUCCAUAGGAAUGAGUUGUUUUUAAAGUUCUUCAGAGUGAAUUUGGAUGCUCAGUCAUUAUAAAGAACUAUCUUCAUCCUACAAAGACUGGUGUUUUUUCUUUCCUUGUUUAUCUUGGAAUUUUUUUCCAAUUGCAGCCUUGAAAACCAUUUCCAAUAAUGUCAGAAUUUGCUUAAAAGAUUGUGAAAGACGGUAAUCUGGAUUGUAAUACUGGGUCAAAGAGACCAUACCAGGAGCCAACCAUGCUAAAUCUAACUUUAAAAUACAGAAUUACAAUGUUAAGACAAGUUCCAUAGAGUGAUAAGGUCUAUGUGGUACUUACUAUUUUACACACAUUUUCCUACACUUAGUGUAACUGUCUCCUAAUUAAAUGCAAUUGUUUUAAAUUAGCUGAUGUGUGUUUUAUGUGAUAUAGCUUUAUAUCCUAAGCCAGAAUAAAAAUAUUCUGAGAGUG
rnacentral:lncRNA from 10 species